rnacentral:lncRNA from 1 species
GCACUCCAGCCUGGGUGACACAGUGAGACCCCGUCUCAAAAAAAAAAAAAAAAAAAAAAAAAGUGGCGUAUGUUCCCGGUCUCCACCUCUCAUUCGCCAGCCCCUGUGACCAAACCCCUGGGAUUAGAUCUCCAUCGGGUCCCUCCCCUCACCCUAACCUCACAUGCAGUGGUUCCUGAGAAGCUGCUGUUUAUCUGAUCACGGGAUCCAGCAGGAUCUGAGGGCUCAUUCACUGAAUCUGUACUACCCAACAAGGCAGGCUUGUCCUUACCCA